UAACCUACCACCCUUUGUUUAUUACACUUUGUUGCUUUGGCAGGCCUGCCCUCGGGCUGCUGGCUCCGGCCGGCGAGCGCCUGCCAGAGGACCUAAACUCUGUUUGUCUAUACUGUCUGAGUACUAUAUAAUAGUUAAAACUUUCAACAACGGAUCUCUUGGUUCUGGCAUCGAUGAAGAACGCAGCGAAAUGCGAUAAGUAAUGUGAAUUGCAGAAUUCAGUGAAUCAUCGAAUCUUUGAACGCACAUUGCGCCCCCUGGUAUUCCGGGGGGCAUGCCUGUCCGAGCGUCAUUACAACCCUCAAGCUCAGCUUGGUGUUGGGCCCCGCCGCCCCGGCGGGCCCUAAAGUCAGUGGCGGUGCCGUCCGGCUCCGAGCGUAGUAAUUCUUCUCGCUCUGGAGGUCCGGUCGUGCGCUCGCCAGCAACCCCCAAUUUUUUUCAGGUUGACCUCGGAUCAGGUAGGGAUACCCGCUGAACUUAAGCAUAUCUAAACCGGGAAG
rnacentral:rRNA from 1 species